GAGUUUGAUUAUGGCUCAGGAUGAACGCUGGCGGCAUGCCUAACACAUGCAAGUUGAACGAGAAGUUCUGGAGGGAGUCUUCGGACGAACGAAGGAAUGGAAAGUAGCGAACGGGUGAGUAACGCGUGGGCAACCAACCUUACACAGGGGGAUAACGCAGAGAAACUGCGCUAAUACCGCAUAAGCGCACAGUACGCAUGGUACGGUGUGAAAAACUCCGGUGGUGUAAGACGGGCCCGCGUCUGAUUAGUUAGUUGGUGAGGUAAAAGCUCACCAAGGCGACGAUCAGUAGCCGACCUGAGAGGGUGAUCGGCCACAUUGGGACUGAGACACGGCCCAAACUCCUACGGGAGGCAGCAGUGGGGGAUAUUGCACAAUGGAGGAAACUCUGAUGCAGCAAUGCCGCGUGAAGGAAGACGGUUUUCGGAUUGUAAACUUCUAUCAGCAGGGAAGAAAAUGACG
rnacentral:rRNA from 1 species